CGGAUUCGUAAAACUCUGUCUUAUGGGACGAUAAUGGCGGUACCAUACGGAGGAAGCCACGGCUAACUACGUGCCAGCAGCCGCGGUAAUACGUAGAUGGCAAGCGUUGUCCGGAUUUACUGGGCGUAGGAUGUGUAGGCGGAUAUUUAAGUGAGAUGUGAAAUCCCCGGGCUUAACUUGGGGGCUGCAUUUCAAACUGG
rnacentral:rRNA from 1 species